UAAUGGGCGGGGAUGUUUAUAAGGA
rnacentral:piRNA from 1 species